CAUCCUGCCUGCAGGUAGCAUUCGAAACGGGGCGCUGUCUGCUACGCUAUAAGAAAUAACGUUGCGCCCUCACUAACACCAAUUGGUUUUGGCGUAGUGGUAAGCGCGUGAUCCUACAAGUGGUAUCAGAGCCAGGUCCCAUGUUCGAAUCCCACGGAAGGCAUGCUGUGCAGCUAGUUUGGCUGGCAGGUGCUGGGGGGGGAUUGUUGGGUCCAGGUGGGCCAGCAUCCUGCCUGCAGGUAGCAUUCGAAACGGGGCGUUGUCUGCUACGCUAUAAGAAAUAACGUUGCGCCCUCACUAACACCAAUUGGUUUUGGCGUAGUGGUAAGCGCGUGAUCCUACAUAAAUGAUGCUUCAUGAAAUGGGAAACAGAUAUUUGUUGCAGGUACAUAGUCCCUACUUGUAUUUAUUUCUUGUUCCAUAUUGAUAACAUUGUGAGUUGAACACUAACCUCUACAUUGAAGGAGUGCUUACCCGAUGGAGUUUCCUAGGAGGCUCUACUGCGGUUUGGUGCCCUUAUUGCAGUGGCUGGUAUUUGAAUCGAUAUUGUCUCAUUUCUAGGUUCAGUCAAACUAUGGUCAAGAUUGUUGAUGAUGCUGAUUGAUGUCCUAAGUAUCUAAUAUCUGUGUACUUGAAGGGCGUAUCAUCAUCGUGGAGAAGGUCCUACAAGGUACUCUUUCCAGAACCAUUGCAGUGUUGAAAGUUUUACUUGGUACGGUGCAGCGAUUGAAAUGGAUAAUAAUAUUGAAACUGAUUAUACUGCGGACGAGACACCCAUGGUUAGCUAUGUAAAUGUGCAUGCUGUGUUAGAAGGAAGAAGAAGUCGAGCUAAGGCUUCGUCUUCAGAUGAUCCUGAGUCUUCUCAGGUAAUUUUUUUGUAUCUCACAAUUAGCAGAUUGGGUGUUUGCUUUUACAAAAUUUGUACGGUUUUUAUAUACUGUUGGUAAUACAUCUAUCUGAAUUGUGGAGUAUUAUGCUUUCUUUUAGAUAAA